rnacentral:rRNA from 1 species
UACGUAGGGCGCAAGCGUUGUCCGGAAUUAUUGGGCGUAAAGAGCUCGUAGGCGGUUUGUCGCGUCUGCUGUGAAAAACUGGAGGCUCAACCUCCAGCCUGCAGUGGGUACGGGCAGACUAGAGUGCGGUGGGGGGAGAUUGGAAUUCCUGGUGUAGCGGUGGAAUGCGCAGAUAUCAGGAGGAACACCGAUGGCGAAGGCAGAUCUCUGGGCCGUAACUGACGCUGAGGAGCGAAAGCAUGGGGAGCGAACAGG